CCCUGGCCCAAAUGAGUGUUCAAUGUUUCCAUAUUCAUUUUCAAUCUGCAACAAGAUGAUUGGGCCACCCUGCCAAGAGAAUAGCAUUUCCUCCCGCAUUAGAUCAUCUUUUUCACAAACCGCUGCAUCUCCUCCUUAAAAGGAUCGUUGUUUGUUCGAAAUACUAUGCCAGGGAUAUCACGCAGCCACACAGGGAAGCCCCCAAAAUUCCAUUCAGCGCAAACAUAAGGACCUAUGCGGAGAUGAAGAUAGAGUCCACUAGCUCCCACUAGCUUCACAAACUUGACAAUAUCAUAUCUUCCUUCAAAGAAAUACUGUCCUUUAACUGGCUCAUGCCCAUUCCAAAACACAUAAGUUUGAAUAACAUCUACCCCACCUUCCUUGCUCUUUGCUAUCAGAUCAGGCCACAUCUCAGGAGUAGCGCGAGGGUAGUGAAUUCCACCGGAAAUGAGCAUACGGCGUUGACCAUUGAUGAUCAGAGCCCGGUGGUCAUAGCUAACAUUGAACGGCUUAAAGAAGUUGGCAGAUACGAAAAAAAAGUGAAGUACUAUAAACAAAGACAGACAUUCAAGCACAGCUUCUCCACUUCCUCUUGCAGCCAUUUUCUUUUUUACGGGUAAAUGAUAAA
rnacentral:misc_RNA from 1 species